UACGAAGGGGGCUAGCGUUGUUCGGAAUUACUGGGCGUAAAGCGCGCGCAGGCGGUCCUUUAAGUCGGGGGUGAAAGCCCAGAGCUCAACUCUGGAACUGCCUUCGAAACUAGAGGACUUGGGUACGGGAGAGGUGAGUGGAAUUCCGAGUGUAGAGGUGAAAUUCGUAGAUAUUCGGAAGAACACCAGUGGCGAAGGCGGCUCACUGGCCCGUUACCGACGCUCAGGCGCGACAGCGUGGGGAGCAAACAGGG
rnacentral:rRNA from 1 species